rnacentral:rRNA from 1 species
AACGUAGGUGGCAAGCGUUAUCCGGAUUUACUGGGCGUAAAGGGUGUGCAGGCGGGGUAGCAAGGGGGGUAUGAAAUCUCCAGGCUUAACCUGGAGGGGUUAUGCCAGACUGCUGCUCUAGAGGACGAGAGAGGGGGGUGGAAUUCCGGGUGUAGUGGUGAAAUGCGUAGAGAUCCGGAGGAACCCCAGAGGCGAAGGCGGCCCCCUGGCUCGUACCUGACGCUCAGCCACGAAAGCAUGGGGAGCGAACGGG